UACGAGGGGGGCGAGCGUUGUUCGGAAUUAUUGGGCGUAAAGGGCGCGUAGGCGGUUUGGUAAGUCUUAUGUGAAAUCUAUGGGCUCAACUCAUAGUCUGCAUGAGAAACUGCCGGGCUUGAGUAUGGGAGAGGUGAGUGGAAUUCCUGGUGUAGCGGUGAAAUGCGUAGAUAUCAGGAGGAACACCUGUGGCGAAAGCGGCUCACUGGACCAUAACUGACGCUGAUGCACGAAAGCUAGGGGAGCAAACAGG
rnacentral:rRNA from 1 species